rnacentral:rRNA from 1 species
CUUGAACGCUGGCGGCAGGCUUAACACAUGCAAGUCGAGCGAGCGGCGGACGGGUGAGUAAUGUCUGGGAAACUGCCUGCUGGAGGGGGAUAACUACUGGAAACGGUAGCUAAUACCGCAUACCAUCAGAUGUGCCCAGAUGGGGUUAGCUGGUAGGUGGGGUAAUGGCUCACCUAGGCGACGAUCCCUAGCUGGUCUGAGGGGAUGACCAGCCACACUGGAACAGAGAGACGGUCCAGACUCCUAGGGGAGGCAGCGGUGGGGAAUAUGGCGCAAUGGGCGCAAGCCUGAUGCAGCCAUGCCGCGUGGGUGAAGAAGGCCUUCGGGUUGUAAAGCACUUUCAGCGAGGAGGCGUUACUCGCAGAAGAAGCACCGGCUAACUCCGUGCCAGCAGCCGCGGUAAUAC